rnacentral:lncRNA from 1 species
CAGGCCAAGGGGCGGUAAAGAUUGCUGUGGACAUGGUUAAUGAGGGUCUUGUUGAGCGCCGUCAAGCGAUUAAGAUGGUAGAGCCAGGCCACCUGGACCAGCUUCUCCAUCCUCAGGUAAUGGAUAACCAUGAGGCCCGUAAACUGAUUGUGCCUUACUUGAAAUUCAGUACUCUUAUAAGUUUGGCCUUACUUGGAAUUCACUUUAUAAGUUAAGUACUGGAUAUGUAUUAACAUCACUGUUUUAAUCUUGUCCAAUGAAAACCAGUUUGAGAACCCAUCAGCAUACAAGGAUCAAGUAAUCGCUACAGGCUUACCAGCUUCACCUGGGGCUGCUGUGGGCCAAAUUGUAUUUACUGCAGAGGACGCUGAAGCAUGGCAUGCCCAAGGGAAAGCUGCUAUCCUGGUAAACACCAUUUUAUCCUCAUUUUUAAGAAAAAAAGGUCUUCUGCAGUUUUUGUGUCAUUUUGAUCUGGACUUUGUGCUUCGAUGAAAAGAUCUGUUAAUUGAGCAAAACUGGUCUAUUUACUGGACCUGUUAGAAUAGUUGCUUGCAGAGUUACAGUCACAAAAAUCCCACUUAUCACAGACAGCCAUUUUUGAAAUGCAUAUGGAAGCUCCAAGUCGUAUCGCUUCAUCUUUUGCAUUCUGAGAAUUUUUUCUUUGCAAAUAUAUAGGUGAGGACAGAGACCAGCCCAGAGGAUGUUGGUGGCAUGCACGCAGCUGUUGGAAUUCUUACAGCAAGAGGUGGGAUGACCUCUCAUGCUGCUGUGGUAGCACGUGGUUGGGGAAAAUGUUGUGUCUCAGGAUGCUCAAGCGUUCUCGUAAAUGAUGCUGAGAAGGUGAAUAGAAUUCUUGUUUGCACAUCUUCUUCUUUGUAGAAGGUGACAUGCCAUGUUAAAGUUUGUAACAGGAUUAUGACAUUCUUUGUAGAUGUGCUCCGUCCGCCAUUUUUAAGUUCUUAUUAACGAGAUUUUGAGGAUGUAGAUGUUUCCUUACUUUGCUAUGUCUACAUUUACAGUCUGUAGUGAUUGGAGACAAGGUGAUGCAUGAAGGUGAGUGGCUAUCACUGAAUGGAUCUACUGGUGAAGUCAUCGUGGGGAAGCAGCCACUUUCCCCACCAGUCCUCAGUGGUGAUCUGGGAACCUUCAUGUCCUGGGUAGAUGAAGUUAGGCAACUGAAGGUAAAUUCCUAGAAAUAACAAAUAUGUAAUAUUAGUUAAAACAUGGAUACAAACUGUUGGAAGUAGAAACCAACAAAAAGGGCAUCAGAUUAUUUAUUCAGACAGGCCAAAGCUAGUCAACCCCACUACACAUUUUUCAACAGAAAUGCUUAUUCGUACAUAUGAUCCACCUUCCAGGUUUUGGCUAAUGCGGAUACCCCUGAGGAUGCACUGACAGCAAGAAACAAUGGGGCAGAAGGAAUUGGACUAUGCCGGACGGAGCACAUGGUAUGUAUUUUAGUUACUGUCCAAUAUCUUUUGGGUGGGAUCUUGGAAAACUUACUCUUUCUUGAAUUCCUUCGUCGAACAGUUGGGUAAACUUUAAGGACCUCCCGUUCUAGUCUCAUGUUCUCCUUUUCUGCACUUUGGCAGUUCUUUGCUUCGGAUGAGAGGAUUAAGGCUGUGAGGCAGAUGAUUAUGGCUCCCACACUUGAACUGAGGCAGAAGGCACUAGAUCGUCUUUUGCCUUAUCAGAGGUCUGACUUUGAAGGCAUUUUCCGUGCUAUGGAUGGUAUGUGAAAAUCACGAUGCAUUCAUUUACAUGCUCUCCAAUUGAACUGGAUGCACUAGUGUUACUGAACAUAACAAGAGUAAGCAACCUUCUUAAAUAGACAACAUUGACUACUAAUGUAAAGUGAAAAGGUAGACAAGUUUUAAACCUUAGGAUGCAAAAUACUUCAAAAAUAAGAACGAAAUUGGGCCAGUAACAUAUUGCAUCAAUUAUUUAACUUGGUAACAUAAAGUUCUGCUAUGAUUUAUCCAUUAGUUUUUUUUAAUCUUUUAUAGCGAGUGGUAUAUGUACAUGUUUCAUGGAAACAGAUAUAGAAUUAAACUACUAGAAUAAAUUUUAACAUGUAUUGUAGUUAGUUCCACAGUAUGUAUUUUAAAGUGCGGAAUGGAUUUGAACAUUAUUUUUUUUGCAUUUCAGGGCUUUCAGUGACUAUUCGGCUUCUGGACCCCCCACUUCAUGAGUUUCUUCCUGACGGGAAUGUUGAAGACAUUGUGCGUGAAUUAUGUUCUGAAACUGGAGCCAAUCAGGAGGAAGCCCUUGCAAGAAUUGAAAGUCUUUCAGAAGUAAAUCCAAUGCUUGGUUUCCGUGGGUGCAGGUUGGUUUUUGUGCUCCGUUUAAAUCAGUCACCCCCCCUCCUUGAUCCAUUUGGUUCCCUUGUUAGUGAAAUAUUAAAAAGAAUAAACUCUGUAUAUUUACCUCGACUAAUAUUGGAACUGCUAAAAUUCCAGGCUCGGUAUAUCAUAUCCUGAGCUAACAGAAAUGCAAGCCCGUGCCAUCUUUGAAGCUGCUAUAGCGAUGACCAACCAGGGUGUUCAAGUUUUCCCAGAGAUAAUGGUUCCUCUUGUUGGGACACCUCAGGCAUGCAUCUUUAUUUCCUUAUUUGUGCAUAUGGUAUCUCUGCAGUUCAUGGUGUUCAAAAUGACAAAAUCAAAAUUGAAUAAACAACCAAGUUCUGUACACAUGUAAUUUACGAUUUUAUGCAAACAUCAAGUUGACCUACACCCAAUUUCCCACCAAAUUCAUUUCUUGAAAUUUUCUCUCUCGAAUUCUAAGUUUAUUGCUUUCACUUGAUUUUUCCUUCAGACAUCUGACAUUUGACUUUUGCAGGAACUGGGGAAUCAAGUGGCCCUUAUCCGUGAAACUGCUAACAAAGUUUUCGCUGCUCUGGGUAAAACCAUUGACUACAAAAUUGGAACUAUGAUUGAAAUUCCGAGGGCAGCUCUAGUAGCUGAUGAGGUAGGAAGCAUCUAACUCCCUUCAGAAUAAUCUUAAAUAUUGCUGUUUAGGUUUAGCUUUUAGAUCAUAUUUUUCAUGAAUGGUUUAGUAAUAGAACCCCGGAUUUUUACUCUAAAACAUGUGAAUAGUAACUGAUGGUAUGAAUUUAUUAAGUGCAAAUAAUAAGUUUAUCCUCUAAUUUAAAAAAAAAACUGACAUUCUUGUUUUGGUUUCACAACCUGACAGAUAGCAGAGCAGGCUGAAUUCUUCUCUUUUGGAACGAACGACCUCACACAGAUGACAUUUGGCUACAGCAGGGAUGAUGUGGGGAAGUUUCUUCCCAUUUAUCUGUCUCAGGGUAUCCUCCAACAUGAUCCCUUUGAGGU